AGAGUUUGAUCCUAGCUCAGGAUGAACGCUGGCGGCGUGGAUAAGUCAUGCAAGUCGAGCGAACUAGUUGCUGGUCACUAGUUGCUAGUUGCUGGUAGUCGCAAAUGCGAUUAACCAGUCAUUAGUUACCAGUUACCAGUAACUAGUUAGCGGCAGACGAGGUAGUAAUAAUUAAGUAUGUACCAGAGAGUCGGGCAUAGCUAUCCGAAAGGGUAGGUAACUCCCGAUGGUCCCUACUUCGCUCAUUGCUUCGCAUGAGCUUCGUAGGGCAGGCUCUUAAGAGCUUGCCCUUCGUAGCUCGCUUGCGAAGCAGCGAGCGGAGUAGGGUAAAAAUUUAUUGCUCUCUGAACAGCUUGAUCGGUAUCAGCUAGUUGGUGAGGUAAAAGCUCACCAAGGCUAUGACGCCUAGGGGACCUGAGAGGGUGACCCCCACCGAUGGGACUGAGACACGGCCCAUACACCUACGGGUGGCUGCAGACGAGAAUAUUCCGCAAUGGACGAAAGUCUGACGGAGCGACGCCGCGUGGAGGAUGAAGUGCUUCGGCAUGUAAACUCCUUUUGCCAGGGAAAAAGUUAUUGAUGGUACCUGGAGAAUAAGAGGUUGCUAAACUCGUGCCAGCAGCAGCGGUAAUACGAGUGCCUCGAGCGUUAUCCGGAAUUAUUGGGCGUAAAGGGUGUGUAGGCGGUAGUGUUAGUCUUGUGUUAAAUCUCUUGGCUCAACCGAGAGUCUGCACGGGAAACGGCACAACUAAGAGGAUGGAAGGGGUCUCUGGAACUCAUGGUGUAGCGGUGAAAUGCGUUGAUAUCAUGGGGAACACCGAAAGCGAAGGCAAGAGACUGGUCCACUCCUGACGCUGAAACACGAAAGCGUGGGUCGCGAAUGGGAUUAGAUACCCCAGUAGUCCACGCCCUAAACGAUGAUCUCUAGAUUUGGGGAGUAUCGACCCUCUCCGAGUCGUAGCAAACGCGUUAAGAGAUCCGCCUGGGUAGUACGGCCGCAAGGUUGAAACUCAAAGGAAUAGACGGGGACUUGCACAAGCGGUGGAACAUGUGGUUCAAUUCGACGCUAAACGAAGAACCUUACCAGGGUUAGAAAUCCAUUCGAAGACUGGCAGAAACGUCAGUCGCCGCAAGGCGGAUGGACAGGUGCUGCAUGGCUGUCGUCAGUUCGUGGUUUG
rnacentral:rRNA from 1 species